rnacentral:piRNA from 1 species
UAGGAAGAUUUUUGAGGUCUGGCCAAGUG